rnacentral:lncRNA from 1 species
GUCCCCAGUGUUGUCACCGUCCCCAACACCCGGAGCCGUCCCCAGCGCUGUCACCGUCACCAACACUCGGAGCCGUCCCCAACACCCAGAGCUCUUGCCAACACCCGGAGCCGUCCCCAGUGUCGUCACCGUCACCAACAUCCGGAUUUGUCCCCAACACCUGGAGUUGUCCCCAGUGUUGUCACCGUCACCAACACCUGGAGCCAUCCCCAGUGUCGUCACCGUCACCAACACCCGGAGUUGUCCCCAACACCCGGAGCCAUCCCCAGUCUUGUCACCGUCACCAACACCAGGACUUGUCCCCAACACCCGGAGCUGUCACCGUCACCGUCCCCACCAACACCCGGAGCUGUCACUGUCCCCACCAACACCUGGAGCUGUGAUUGUCCCCAACAACACCUGGAGCUGUCACCAUCCCCACCAACACCCGGAGCUGUGGCUGUUGUGUCACCCCAAUAAAGACU